rnacentral:sRNA from 1 species
GAUAUUCAAAAUCUAAUGUAUACUGCUA